AGAAUCAACGCUGGCGGCGCGCCUAACACAUGCAAGUCGCACGAGAAAGGGGACUUCGGUUCCUGAGUACAGUGGCGCACGGGUGAGUAACACGUGAAUCAUCUACCUUCGAGUGGGGAAUAAACUGAGAGAAAUCUUAGCUAAUACCGCAUAAUACCUACGGGUCAAAGCAGCAAUGCGCUUGAAGAGGAGUUCGCGGCAGAUUAGUUAGUUGGCGGGGUAAUGGCCCACCAAGACGAUGAUCUGUA
rnacentral:rRNA from 1 species